rnacentral:rRNA from 1 species
AAUGAGAAAUCAUUGCUAACCACCGCAUAUGCCGAGAGAAUCACAUGGUACAAUCGGGAAAAGAGUAAUCUGCUAGAAGAUGGCCUUGCGUCUGAUUAGAUAGUUGGUGGGGUACCGGCCUACCAAGUCGACGAUCAGUAGCCGGACUGAGAGGUUGAACGGCCACAUUGGGACUGAGAUACGGCCCAGACUCCUACGGGAGGCAGCAGUCGGGAAUAUUGCGCAAUGGAGGAAACUCUGACGCAGUGACGCCGCGUAUAGGAAGAAGGUUUUCGGAUUGUAAACUAUUGUCGUUAGGGAAGAGAAAGGACAGUACCUAAGGAGGAAGCUCCGGCUAACUACGUGCCAGCAGCCGCGGUAAUACGUAGGGAGCGAGCGUUAUCCGGAAUUAUUGGGUGUAAAGGGUGCGUAGACGGGAAGAUAAGUUAGUUGUGAAAUCCCUCGGCUUAACUGAGGAACUGCAACUAAAACUGUUUUUCUUGAGUGCAGGAGAGGUAAGUGGAAUUCCUAGUGUAGCGGUGAAAUGCGUAGAUAUUAGGAGGAACACCAGUGGCGAAGGCGACUUACUGGACUGUAACUGACGUUGAGGCACGAAAGUGUGGGGAGCAAACAGGAUUAGAUACCCUGGUAGUCCACACCGUAAACGAUGGAUACUAGGUGUAGGAGAUAUUAAGUCUUCUGUGCCGUCGCACACGCAGUAAGUAUCCCACCUGGGGAGUA